CUUGGUCAUUUAGAGGAAGUAAAAGUCGUAACAAGGUUUCCGUAGGUGAACCUGCGGAAGGAUCAUUAUUGAAAACAUAAACCUGAUGAGCUGUUGCUGGUUCUCUAGGGAAUAAUGUGCACGCUUGUCAUCUUUAUAUUUCCACCUGUGCACUUUUUGUAGACCUGGAUAAAUCUCUCUGCAAGUCAGGUUUUGAGGAUUGACUUUAUUGACUCUCCCUUAUAUUUUCCAGGUCUAUGUUUUUCAUAUACUCUAUGUAUGUUAUUGAAUGUAAAUAAAUUAUUGGGCUUUUUGUCCCUAUAAAUUAUUUUUGUACAACUUUCAGCAACGGAUCUCUUGGCUCUCGCAUCGAUGAAGAACGCAGCGAAAUGCGAUAAGUAAUGUGAAUUGCAGAAUUCAGUGAAUCAUCGAAUCUUUGAACGCACCUUGCGCUCCUUGGUAUUCCGAGGAGCAUGCCUGUUUGAGUGUCAUUAAUAUUAUAUCAACCUCAUUUACUUGAGUGUUUUGGAUGUGGGGGUUGUUUAUUGCUGGCCUUGUCUUUUUUGAGGCCAGCUCCCCUGAAAUGCAUUAGCAGAACGAACAGAUCCUGUUAUUCAUUAGUGUGAUAAACUAUCGUCGCUAUUGACAAGGGGCAAAUAGUUCAGCUUCUAAUAGUCCAUUGACUUGGACAAA
rnacentral:rRNA from 1 species